rnacentral:rRNA from 1 species
UACGAAGGGGGCUAGCGUUGCUCGGAAUUACUGGGCGUAAAGGGUGCGUAGGCGGCACUGUUAGUCAGGCGUGAAAUUCCUGGGCUCAACCUGGGGACUGCGCUUGAUACGGCAGAGCUAGAGGAUGGAAGAGGCUCGCGGAAUUCCCAGUGUAGAGGUGAAAUUCGUAGAUAUUGGGAAGAACACCGGUGGCGAAGGCGGCGAGCUGGUCCAUUACUGACGCUGAGGCGCGACAGCGUGGGGAGCAAACAGG